rnacentral:lncRNA from 1 species
AAUACAGGGUACAACGGGGCUGAUCACCCUCCGUACCCGUAAGCUAGAACGGUUUGCGGAUGGAUUUCUGCCAAACCUAUUCAAAAAUGAAAAAGAAUGUUCAUAGUAUGUUUCUUAAACCCUAUUCAUGGGUGGAGCCUAAUUUCAAGAAAUUGAAAGAGAGUUGUUAUGCGAAUUUUUUUUCAGUGCAGGUUACUUCACAACUUUCGAUUCGUUGUAGAAGUGUUAUGUAAAGAGAAUACUUAUAUUCUUUCAGCUUAUAUAUAUAAUUGCUAUUACUUGUUGGGCACUCAAAUGCUCAUCCUUGCUUAAAUUAAAUGUUUUCAGUUAUGUAUGAGCAACCUGAAGGCUCAGGCACGAACAAAGGAAAAGAAAAGUUGUUCGAAUGAGUUUAUAUUAUGAGUUAAUGGUUAUAGUUAGUAAGACAAUGGAAUCUAUUGUCAGGUAUUGUAAGGAAUGUAUUUGAAGGUCACGUACCUGGGGAAGUAAACUUUGAUGUAUGUAAAUUAAGUUCGAAUGUAUUAUUAUUUAGUAUUAUUCAGCUUAAAGAAAUGGCAUCGUGGAGAACCGAG